CUGAUCCGUGUAAUGGGCCUCCGCCCGUGCAGGCGAGCCCGGCCGGCCCCGUGCCGGCAUGCACAACGAUCAG
rnacentral:ncRNA from 1 species